GCCAGUGUGGUGUAGCGGUUUGAAUGUUGGACUACAAUUCUGGAGAUCAGGGUUAGAUUGCCUGCUGGGCCA
rnacentral:tRNA from 1 species